UGCGCAGGCGGCCGUGUGUGUGAGGCGUGAAAGCCCGAGGCUUAACCUCGGAAUUGCACCUCAAACUACACGGCUAGAGCAUUGGAGAGGGUAGCGGAAUUCACGGUGUAGCAGUGAAAUGCGUAGAUAUCGUGAGGAACACCAGAGGCGAAGGCGGCUACUUGGACAAUUGCUGACGCUCAGGCACGAAAGCGUGGGGAGCAAAAGGGAUUAGAUACCCCUGUAGUCCACGCCCUAAACGGUGCACACUAGGUCUUGGCGGAUUCGACCCCCCCAGGGCCCCAGCUAACGCGUUAAGUGUGCCGCCUGAGGACUACGGCCGCAAGGCUAAA
rnacentral:rRNA from 1 species